UAGCUUCUUUUUGGUUCAGGUGUACCAUACUUCUAUCUUAAUCCAGCUUUCAUCACACUGCGUCCAACAAUAGUUUUUCUUCGGCUGCAUAAAUUUCCAAAGUGCCUCGGGAGAGUAAGUUCGGGUUGUGUCUUUCAUCCACUAAACAUCCUUCCCUCACGCCUCUGGUUUUUAUCCAUCAAUCGGUAACCCAACACCCAAACAGUUGAAAAUAAAAGAAAUCAAAGUUAACUUAAAAAAAAUUGAAAAAAAACAAAACGGAAAAUAACUAAAACAAUGAAAAGAACCCCCCCUCACACUUGAACUAAACAUUGACCCCAAUGUUUAAACCCAA
rnacentral:lncRNA from 1 species